rnacentral:rRNA from 1 species
UAGUGAUCCGGUGGUUCUGUAUGGAAGGGCCAUCGCUCAACGGAUAAAAGGUACUCCGGGGAUAACAGGCUGAUACCGCCCAAGAGUUCAUAUCGACGGCGGUGUUUGGCACCUCGAUGUCGGCUCAUCACAUCCUGGGGCUGUAGUCGGUCCCAAGGGUAUGGCUGUUCGCCAUUUAAAGUGGUACGCGAGCUGGGUUCAGAACGUCGUGAGACAGUUCGGUCCCUAUCUGCCAUGGGCGUUGGAGAUUUGAGAGGGGCUGCUCCUAGUACGAGAGGACCGGAGUGGACGAACCUCUGGUGUUCCGGUUGUCACGCCAGUGGCAUUGCCGGGUAGCUAUGUUCGGAAGCGAUAACCGCUGAAAGCAUCUAAGCGGGAAGCGCGCCUCAAGAUGAGAUCUCCCGGGGCACAAGCCCCCUGAAGGAACCAUGUAGACUACGUGGUUGAUAGGUCAGGUGUGUAAGUACAGCAAUGUAUUGAGCUAACUGAUACUAAUGAUCCGAGAGGCUUGACCAUAUAACCUCA